AGCUCUGAGGUGUUUUGGCACGUGAGAUUGCAAAUCUCCAGGAGCAGAUUAAUCGUCUGCCGGGGCUU
rnacentral:tRNA from 3 species